GGGUAAUGAGGAAAGUCAAUGUAAUCUAUAAGAGCUUGCUGUUAGAUGUUAUCCCCCGACUGGUGAGGAAAAAAUGGGCAACAUGACUAUAAGACUGGGAUGACUUCCGGAAACUGGUAGCUAAAACAUGAUAAUUCAUUUCUACUCGUGUAGAAAAGCAUAUAAGACGGCUUACGCUGUCUUUUAUAGAUUGGCCCGCGACUCAUUGCCUGUUUGGUGAGGUAACGGCUCACCUAGGCCACUAUGCGUAUCCCAAAUGAAAGGGUGAUCUGCAAUUGUGGGACUGAGACACGGCCCAAACUUCUAUUGGAAGCAACUCUGGG
rnacentral:sRNA from 1 species